GUCUUUGUGGUGUAGUGGUCAGCACGCUCAAGCGUAAUCGAGAGGUCCGUGGUUCGAUUCCCGGCGAAAGCG
rnacentral:tRNA from 1 species